AAUCAACGCUGGCGGCGUGCCUAACACAUGCAAGUCGAACGCGAAAGUCCCGCAAGGGAUAAGUAGAGUGGCAAACGGGUGAGUAACACGUGGGUGACCUGCCUUCGAGCGGGGGAUAACGUCCCGAAAGGGACGCUAAUACCGCAUGACAUCCUGCCUUUGAAGAGGCGGUGAUCAAAGCUGGGGAUCGCAAGACCUAGCACUCGGAGAGGGGCCCGCGCCUGAUUAGCUAGUUGGUGGGGUAAUGGCUCACCAAGGCAACGAUCAGUAGCCGGCCUGAGAGGGCGGACGGCCACACUGGGACUGAGACACGGCCCAGACUCCUACGGGAGGCAGCAGUGGGAAUUGUUCGCAAUGGGCGCAAGCCUGACGACGCAACGCCGCGUGGAGGACGAAGACC
rnacentral:rRNA from 1 species